rfam:Triticum aestivum genome assembly, contig: Triticum_aestivum_CS42_TGACv1_scaffold_177375_2DS
GAAAUACUACUUAAAUUCUUGUCUUAGAUUUGUCUAGAUACGGAUGUAUCUAACACUAAAACGUGUUAGAUACAUCCGUAUCUAGACAAAUCUAAGACAAGAAUUUUGGAACGGAGGGAGUAUAUA